GUGCAAACUAGAUCACUAGCCCUGCAGCCAGUUGCAGAAGCAAGGGGAACACGUUUGCUAGAGUAACCGAUGUAGAAACUGAAAAGCUAUAGAAUUGAUUCUGUGGCUUUAUAGUUCUGCACAACAAGC